GACGUAGGGGGCGAGCGUUGUCCGGAUUUAUUGGGCGUAAAGAGCGCGCAGGCGGCUUGGUAAGUCGGAUGUGAAAUCCCGAGGCUCAACCUCGGGUCUGCAUCCGAUACUGCCCGGCUAGAGGUAGGUAGGGGAGAUCGGAAUUCCUGGUGUAGCGGUGAAAUGCGCAGAUAUCGGGAGGAACACCAGUAGCGAAGGCGGCACUCUGGGCCGGUACUGACGCUGAGGAGCGAAAGCGUGGGGAGCGAACAGG
rnacentral:rRNA from 1 species